GUUUUUCACCGUAAUUUAUUCAUAUUUCUCUUGAGUCCAGUUAAAAGUCUCAUUCCUUACAGAGAAGGAAAGUUAGCAAAGAGCUUGAAGAAGUUGAUAAUGGAGGUGUUAAAGUGAUUUAUUAUGUGCGCCAACUGAUAUAGUAUAAUUUGCUAAACCUAAGUUCCAAAAUGGUUAUUCGUAUUUCAUUUGCAGUAAGUCAGAUUGCUUAUUAUCUUUGUUUUUUGUAUGUACCUUUAAGCUGUUAAAGUGAUUUGUUUCUAGGAACUCAGAAACUUUGUUGCUUUCAUUUGGAACAAGAUAAACUUGAUUGCUGAAUUGAAGGUUUAAAUAUUGGGUUUGAAUCUUUAAAUAUCCGUACCGUUUUUUUAGUUUAUUGUAGCAGUGGACUUUUUAAAACUUUUGCUUAUAAACUGUCGAUUUUGGUAGUGUUCAUCUCAAACGGGUCAACAAAUAUUUCUGUUUAGCAAAAAAGUAUACAUAUAUAUACAUAUAGAAAGGAAUUGUCUUCAAAUAGGUUGAUGUAUCUAAUAGUUGUUUAAGUUGAUUUCAGAGGCAUACAACAUUUAGUUUAUUUUAUCUAUGCUUGUUGAUCACUAUUGUAAUAAUUAUUGUUUUCAUAAAUUAAUUAGUGUAUUAGUCUAUGUAAAACUUUGGUAAAUGUAUGAUAGGUCAAUUUGUAAACUUGAGGUUUGCCCCCAUGAAACUCUAUAUCUGUUUGAAGAUUAGAGUUUGAACUCUUAUUGUCCUUUAAUGUUCAGAAGCAAGCAGGCUAGUUUCUUUAUUACCUGCUUCAAGAUUGAACAGAUAACCAACAAAGUUAAAACAAGAUAUAGUAGAGAAGUGUGCUAUGAAGGAGAAAAUUGAAGGAGAUACAAGUUAUACAUUGGAACGAAUGAGAUUUCAAUUGUCGUCACAAAACCUGCCAUAUUUUUUUUCCUCAUGAUAUGGGUUUAUUGUAUUGCUUUUGGAUAAUUUGGAUCUUUAUUAUAGUACAUGUGGAUAUUCAUAUUUGAUU
rnacentral:lncRNA from 1 species